GAAAUGCUUAGAUAUCACGAAGAANUCCGAUUGCGAAGGCAGCUUGCUGGACUGUAACUGACGCUGAGGCACGAAAGCGUGGGGAUCAAACAGGAUUAGAUACCCUGGUAGNCCACGCNNUAAACGAUGAAUGCUAGCUGUUAGCGAUAUACUGUUAGCGGCACAGAGAAAUCGUUAAGCAUUCCACCUGGGGAGUACGCCGGCAACGGUGAAACUCAAAGGAAUUGACGGGGGCCCGCACAAGCGGAGGAACAUGUGGUUUAAUUCGAUGAUACGCGAGGAACCUUACCUGGGCUUAAAUUGCAGUGGAAUAACGUGGAAACAUGUUAGCCUUCGGGCCGCUGUGAAGGUGCUGCAUGGUUGUCGUCAGCUCGUGCCGUGAGGUGUCGGCUUAAGUGCCAUAACGAGCGCAACCCUCAUCGAUAGUUACUAACAGGUUAAGCUGAGGACUCUAUCGAGACUGCCGACGUAAGUCGUGAGGAAGGUGGGGAUGACGUCAAAUCAGCACGGCCCUUACGUCCAGGGCUACACACGUGUUACAAUGGGGGGUACAAAGGGCAGCUACCUGGCGACAGGAUGCUAAUCUCAAAAACCUCUCUCAGUUCGGAUUGGAGUCUGCAACCCGACUCCAUGGAGCUGGAUUCGCUAGUAAUCGCGCAUCAGCCACGGCGCGGUGAAUACGUUCCCGGGCCUUGUACACACCGCCCGUCAAGCCAUGGGAGCCGGGGGGACCUGAAGUAUGCAACCGUAAGGAGCGUCCUAGGGUAAAACUGGUGACUGGGGCU
rnacentral:rRNA from 1 species